GACGAAGGAUGCAAGCGUUAUCCGGAUUCAUUGGGUUUAAAGGGUGCGUAGGCGGACUUGUAAGUCAGUGGUGAAAUCUCUCAGCUUAAACUGAGAAACUGCCCAUUGAUACUGCAGGUCUAGAAGUAUAGAUGACGUUUGGCGGAAUAUGACAUGUAGUGGUGAAAAUACUUAGAUAUGUCAUAGAAACACCGAUUGCGAAGGCAGCUAACGAAAACUAUAAACUGACGCUGAGGCAACGAAAAGUGCGGGGGAUCAAAACAGG
rnacentral:rRNA from 1 species